AAAACAAUUUUAAUAUAUGUAUAGCAAUGUUUGAUACAAAAGUGUUUGAAACUCAAACGCUUUUCCACUUACGUUUGAUAAGUCAAACAUUAUUUCUGCUUAAAUGUGUAUAAUUCAAACACUUACGACGAAUCCAUUUUUAGUUUUUUAAUCGACUAAAAUGCGGAUGAAUAAAUGUUCUCACGGAUAUCUCCAAUGCUAUUCAGAGAAAACAUCUUCGACAGUAAAUUUUAUUUUCUUAUGCAUUAUUAUUCGCAUCGACGUAUUUCUUAUUUACCUUGCGCUAAGUAAUUAACGUAAUUGAUGCGCAAAUUGUUUAAAAGAACCAUCGAUUGCUCAAGAAUAUCAUUAAAUACAAUUCUCUUCCUGUUAUAAGGAAAACUAUUUUCACAUUUCUUGAUACUAACAACGCGGAUAAUUUUUAAUGCGUUGCUGGCGUCUGUCACAGGUUUUAAUUCAUCUACGGUUCGCUAGCGAGUUAUUUAUUUGUGGCACGUAUCCGUGACAUUUUGCAGCUGCAACUAUGAAUUACGAGUGCGGGCAGAGAUUUAAAUGAAAAUUGACGAUGACAAAUCGUCGAAUUUCGUCAAAAUAAAAUAUCUCUGUAUUUGUUCUCGUGCGCUUCUCUCUUCCGAUAUAACCACAUCGCUCUUUUUUUAUAUUAUUUUUAUAUUAUUUUUUUAUAUUAAGUGCCUUUCUAUCAUAACAUCAAUUUAUCUAUGUAUUUUUAAUAAUUCACUUCUAUAAAUUUACAGACAAAAAUUCAAUUUACAUGAGAAAGUCCGCUUUGCAUCGCACGUCUUACCUAAGAAUUCGCCUGCUGCGUGUAUGCAUAGUCGUGCAGGUGCUGUAAAGUUUCUACCAAGUAUCCGGCGUUUAACGAUGAGUUCCCCACUAGCGUUCUCUCGCUUGUAGUGGUUCGGGAGACGCGCGGUAGCGCAUCGUCGAGGAUAAGGGCAUAAAUUCGCACCCACCUCGCGGCAUAUAUCGUCGCGUACUUUAUGCUCGCUCCCGACUACUAUAUCUUUGCGUCUGACGUGAGAGAGGCGUCGUAAGGAUCGCGCGAGGAAACGCAGCGAGCAUUUCAAUUGCUUACUUCGAUGCGUUCGGUUGCGCUCUUGCAAACGAAAGGAGUGCGCCUCGCCUCUUUCGCCCGCUCUAGAAUUUGCAAUUCCCACACGCGUAACAUCGAAACUGAAGCGCGUGUAUGUCCAUAUUUCCGUUCCUGCUACACGCAUCUCCCUUUGAAUUCGACACGGGGAAAAAAGGCCAAAGCCGCGUGCCGAGGGAGAAUAACGCGGCCGAUAACGCCGCCACGAUGGAUUCUCGGUGGAGCAGUUUACGAAGUCGUACACGCUGCGGGAAGUAAACUCGAAGAGGGCUUAUCUUGAGGCCAGAUAACAGCAAGAAUAACAAAAGUGAAGACGCAGGUUCGACAUGUUGAUUUUACUUCGCCGUUUCCCGGUGGUGACCCUUUCGUUUGAGAAUUAUUCAAGAUUUGACACGCCAUAUCUUACUCUUCCGUUACACAAGAAAUAAUUUGUAUUAUCCGUAAUCAAAAAUCUGAGAGAGAGAAAAAAUAUUACAUUCGACACGUUAAGCUACGUCAAAUGCGGAGUUAAACACUGUGAAAAAGACUUGCAAAUGCUAAUUCAUGAGAGGAAAGAAAUCUUGACGUGCUAGUCAUUUAUCAUGGCUUGCAUGACGAAUGUGAACAGAUUAUUACAGACAUUACAUGAAGCUAUACGUGAGACAUUCUCUGUAAAGAAACAAUUCUUGGGAUUUUGCGUAAGACUCGGCAAGUUGAAUGAUGAUCAAAUUCCAGCCGUUUGGGUUGGAGAAUUGCAAUUAAUCAUUUAUUAUUUCACGUGACGGAUAAGGAUAGAUUUCGUGGGCCAUUACGCUCGCACGUAUGACGCGUUACUAGUAGUAAGCGCCAAGAACUCGAAGAACGUCCUCGCGAUUUUCCUUUCACCGGCAGUCCACGAGCAGUCCGCUACGCCGGGACGAAAUGGGAGAGGGGGCUCUCUCCUUGAGCCGAGAAUUUCCUUUUGUCGGUGUCGCGAAACGGACCCAGUGUCACAAAAGCUCGAAUAACGCGCGCUUCCCCGGGAAGUUUCUCCUCCUCCAUCUCUUCUCCGUCUCUCUGUCGCGCUUUUCAAAACUUGUAUCCGAGCUAGCGACUCCACACAUGAAAGGUGAGCAGUCAAUACUGGCCGCAGUCCAUAUCGACCGAUCGGACGCGGUGGGCCGUAAGUGAGCCAUCGAUCGAAUCAGUGAUCCCGAGCGUAGAUCGACAGGAUCCCAUUUCUCAUCGGAUGGAAGUGUGAGUGCAAGUGCGAACACGCGAGGGAGGAAAAACGCAAGAAAGUGGAACGGAACAGACCAA